rnacentral:lncRNA from 1 species
UCUUGGAUAAAAAUCUUGUGAUAUUUCCUUGUUGGAUUUAAAAACUUGAACAAGAACUUGAUGAACAAAGCACUUGAGCUUCUUCCUCUCUCUAGAAUACUCUUCCUUCUCUCUAAAAAUGUCAGAUUUUUGCUCCAAAAUGAGUCUUAAAACCUAUUUAUCAAAAUGGGAUCUGGUUAUGAAAAUAGAAAAAUUAACCCUCCGAAAGCAGGUCUGCGGUCGCAUAAUGGACCACAGAAUGGGUAUGCAAGCCGCAAAGUUGAUCGCAAAAUCAGUGCCCAGAACUGGGCUCUUCUGGUCCAUUCUGCGACCAGUUUACGGUCGCAGAAGCAGUUUUGCGAUCGCAUAACUAUUUUGCGAUCGCAGAAUUGUAUUUUUCCAGCCUUUGAUAAUUUAGUCAUAACUUUUUGUAAGAAUGUCCAAAUGACAAACGGUCUGAAAAGUUAGAAACUAGACUCAAAGAUAUUUCAUUUGAUAGGUAAUACACCAUAUAAAACUUUGUAUCAUGAGAGUUAUGCUCAUUUGAAGUUGGGUCUUGUGCGAACUCACUUGAACUUUAGUCUAUUAUGAAAUUUCCAACUUCUACAUUCGAUGUCGAAAUUACCGAAUUAAGUCCGAUAGACCUCAAAUUUUGCACACAAGUCAUAAAUGAUAUAACGAACCUAUUCCAAUUUUCGGAAUCAGAUUCCGACCCCGAUAUCAAAAAAUAACCCCCGGUCAAACUUUCCAAAAAUUCAACUUUCGUCAUUUCAAGCCUAAUUCUACUACGGACCUCCAAAAAAAUUUUCGGACACGCUCCUAAGUCCAUAAUCAUCAUACGGAGCUAUUGGAAUCAUUAAAACUCUAUUCCGGGGUCGUUUACACAUAAGUCAACAUCCGAUCAACUAUUUCAACUUAAACUUCCAACAUGAAAUUCAUUCUUCCAAGCUAACUCCGAAAUACCUUAAAACCAAAACCGACAAUUCACACAAGUCAUAAUACCUCGUAGGAAGUUAUGCAAGAUCUCAAAUAGUUGAAAGGAGCGUAAAUGCUCAAAAUGACCGGUCGGGUCGUUACACACCAUAUCAUCCACUGCCUCUGUUUCCUUAAGAUUCUUAGAGGCUUAACAACUACAAUUAAUGGAAUAUGCUAUUCAUUUUCCUAAUGCUACAUAAAUAGCCUCUUUCUCACCAUAAGUUGAGAAAUCGAGUUCAUUUGCAGUGUACAUAAAAAUAAAGCUAUGUGACUAUUAUGUUUACUUCAAAUGUGCAAGAAUGAAUAUCUUUCAACAUACAAUUGAAGUGCUUAACAAGAGUAGUAUGACAAGAUUUAAUUCGAACUAGGUUCGGUACUUUUCGCCCAGAUCCGGUAAAUCCAGUAGGUGUUGCUCUAUUCUUUCAUUCUUUUAAGGUUUGUUUCUCUGCACCCAGAGUAAUUAAAACACCAGCAUUUAACAUUAAAUCUAGCUUUAGAUAAUGCUCCAAGGAAUAUAUUCAAUUAUCCCCCAAAUAUUUUUUAAAAGGAAUACUUCAAGAAAGGGAGUAAUCUAGUCUAACAAAAUUGACCAAUCUAUGUAGACCAAACGAAAAAUAAACUUUAAUUCUGAAUACAAGAUAUAAAAAGCACUAAAAGCAAAUGCACUAACCAAUAAGAAAAACUCUGCACCCAUGAGAAGCCGUGGACAAAAUAGCCGACUAACGACAGAAAUCAGUGGUGGGUGAACUAAAUCAUCACUUUGAUUGAGGAAAUCAGCAAGAAAAUGGCAAUGGAAAACCAGAAAUAGAAAGAAAUCGCCACUUUGAUAGAAAAUGGCG